UACGGAGGGUGCAAGCGUUGUUCGGAUUUAUUGGGCGUAAAGCGCGUGUAGGCGGUUUCUUAAGUCUGAUGUGAAAGCCCUGGGCUCAACCCAGGAAGUGCAUUGGAUACUGGGAAACUUGAAUACGGGAGAGGGUAGUGGAAUUCCUAGUGUAGGAGUGAAAUCCGUAGAUAUUAGGAGGAACACCGGUGGCGAAGGCGGCUACCCGGACCGAUAUUGACGCUGAGACGCGAAAGCGUGGGGAGCAAACAGG
rnacentral:rRNA from 1 species